AACGAACGCUGGCGGCGUGGAUAAGACAUGCAAGUCGAACGGGAGAAUUGCUAGCUUGCUAAUAAUUCUCUAGUGGCGCACGGGUGAGUAACACGUGAGUAACCUGCCCCCGAGAGCGGGAUAGCCCUGGGAAACUGGGAUUAAUACCGCAUAGUAUCGAAAGAUUAAAGCAGCAAUGCGCUUGGGGAUGGGCUCGCGGCCUAUUAGUUAGUUGGUGAGGUAACGGCUCACCAAGGCGAUGACGGGUAGCCGGUCUGAGAGGAUGUCCGGCCACACUGGAACUGAGACACGGUCCAGACACCUACGGGUGGCAGCAGUCGAGAAUCAUUCACAAUGGGGGAAACCCUGAUGGUGCGACGCCGCGUGGGGGAAUGAAGGUCUUCGGAUUGUAAACCCCUGUCAUGUGGGAGCAAAUUAAAAAGAUAGUACCACAAGAGGAAGAGACGGCUAACUCUGUGCCAGCAGCCGCGGCAAUACAGAGGUCUCAAGCGUUGUUCGGAAUCACUGGGCGUAAAGCGUGCGUAGGCUGUUUCGUAAGUCGUGUGUGAAAGGCGCGGGCUCAACCCGCGGACGGCACAUGAUACUGCGAGACUAGAGUAAUGGAGGGGGAACCGGAAUUCUCGGUGUAGCAGUGAAAUGCGUAGAUAUCGAGAGGAACACUCGUGGCGAAGGCGGGUUCCUGGACAUUAACUGACGCUGAGGCACGAAGGCCAGGGGAGCGAAAGGGAUUAGAUACCCCUGUAGUCCUGGCAGUAAACGGUGCACGCUUGGUGUGCGGGGAAUCGACCCCCUGCGUGCCGGAGCUAACGCGUUAAGCGUGCCGCCUGGGGAGUACGGUCGCAAGAUUAAAACUCAAAGAAAUUGACGGGGACCCGCACAAGCGGUGGAGUAUGUGGCUUAAUUCGAUGCAACGCGAAGAACCUUACCUGGGCUUGACAUGUAAUGAACAACAUGUGAAAGCAUGCGACUCUUCGGAGGCGUUACACAGGUGCUGCAUGGCCGUCGUCAGCUCGUGUCGUGAGAUGUUUGGUUAAGUCCAGCAACGAGCGCAACCCCUGUUGCCAGUUACCAGCACGUGAAGGUGGGGACUCUGGCGAGACUGCCCAGAUCAACUGGGAGGAAGGUGGGGACGACGUCAGGUCAGUAUGGCCCUUAUGCCCAGGGCUGCACACGUACUACAAUGCCCAGUACAGAGGGGGCCGAAGCCGCGAGGCGGAGGAAAUCCUAAAAACUGGGCCCAGUUCGGACUGUAGGCUGCAACCCGCCUACACGAAGCCGGAAUCGCUAGUAAUGGCGCAUCAGCUACGGCGCCGUGAAUACGUUCCCGGGUCUUGUACACACCGCCCGUCACAUCAUGGAAGCCGGUCGCACCCGAAGUAUCUGAAGCCAACCGCAAGGAGGCAGGGUCCUAAGGUGAGACUGGUAACUGGGAUG
rnacentral:rRNA from 1 species